GGUCUUUGAGUCAAGUUUGAAGUACUGGAGUGGAGGUUGAGCUGUUGGUGGCAUGGCUGGCAUAUUACACUAAAGUAGGUUUGCUGGGCUUUGUGCAUGCUUCUGUAGCUACCUCGCUCGCUGAAUCGUGUGUUGGCCACCAUCAAGCCAUUUGCCAGACAAGUCUAGAAUGGCUUCUUAUUCCUGUUGCCGUACUCAUGGUUGGACCUAGGCAGUCCUGGUCUGUCUGUUCAGGUCACUAGUCCUCACCAAUUCAUGUCUGCUUUAUCUAGUAGAUCUGUAACUGCUAUCUCAAUGCACUUGUCAUCCCUGCUGUGUGACACUGGCUGAGAUUAUGAAUACUGCCCAAUCUUUACACUGCAGUUUGAUUCCAGUGGGUCGCUCAUGUCUGAUCCCAUUCUUCACCACCUUCUGAAGUGUCUUCUCACCAUUUCUAGUGACUUCCGAGUAGUAGCCUCUGGAUCCUAAGCAAAGUGGGUUUGCACUGCUGUCACUUUUCUAUUGGAGAGACAUGAUGUCCAGCCUCUUCCUUUCCAUCAUGUCAGGUUUCCGGUCAUAUACAAAUGUAAGUUGAGGUGAAAUAAGGAAGCGGUAGAAUGAAGGGUGGAGAAGCCAAAGAUUUCAGUUCAGAUAAGAGCAUGGACAUUUUUCCCAUUUUCUUGAAUGGGCUUUCUAGACAACCCAUACCCUCCAGGUCACUCUUAAGCUGGAAGUUUUUCAGCCUCCCUGCAGUAUUGCAGCAUUUCACUGUCUGAAGCCUUCACUUGACACCAUUUUUUCAUUGUAUUUACUGUACUUUGACCUUGGCAAAAACAGUUUCUGUCCUCUUCACCUUAAGUUAGAAUGUCAUCUAAAAGUUAAAGGACCUUUUUGAGUAGUGAUCUGUUGGGACACCAUGUAAACUGGUAAAGUGCAAUGUUUCUCAUGGUGCAUGCAUAUUGAUUUUUUUUUUCUCCCCACUUUGUGAUUAAAUUCACAGGAAUAAUCUCCAGUUUACAAGUUUAACUUUUGGGCCUUGUCAGCCUGAUUUCAUUAUGGUCUAGAGCAUUUGUGUGUAAAAUUUGUGUACUAUAUGAAACCAUUGUAGUGCUCAUUUAAUGAAGUGACCUGAUAGAAGGAAUAGAUUGUAGUGGCAGAAUGCUCUGACCUAAAAAUAACAUUCCGUUAAAAUACUGGUUCAUAAAAUAUUGCCAGGAGGCUAGAAAAAGCACAUAGCACUCAAGGCAUGUGGCCUUAUAGGGGCUUGAUCGUCAGCAGGCACUAAGGCAGAAAUGAUAAAAAAAAAUAAAAUCAUCUUGUGGUAUUUCCUGGCCCAUAGUGAAUUUACUAUUUUCCCACAAAGGACUAUAGAAAGUGCCAGCUGUCUGUCAUAUGUCUGAGCUGCUGUAUCUUUGGCACUUAACAAAAGGUGGGCAGGAGCUUUUGCACAAGUGCAGUGCUGUGUACUUCAAAAAAAAAAAAACUACUUGUGCACCAUGAAAGACCAUUGUAUCUUGCAUUGGUAAUUCAGCAAAAAGCUACUUGUAUUCCAAAGAUUGUCUUGAGUUGAUGUGAUGUGUUCCUGCUAUGUAAUUUACAGGUUAAUGUAGAAACAAACCCACCUGAUGGUGUACCAUGACAUGGGACCGUGUAGGAUAUUGUGGAAGAGAAACAUCACAUCAGUCUGGUAGACCUAUUUGGACUGUUUGGAGUUGUGGGGGACUGCUGUUGUACAGAAAAGCGGGGGUCACUUCAUUUUUUUUUUUACAUAAGUGUAGGGAAGACAUUGCAUACUGCCUUCAUACUUAAUGGUCAGUGGAGGAUAUUUAACUUUGGAAUAAUUGGAGGAAGGGGGUGGUUAGGGAAUAAAUUAUGUAAUUGUGUAUUGUUGAAAAACACUGGGGCAGAGUUUUUUUUAUAUAUAUUCCUGUUCUGUAUGCAGGGCAUUUAGCAAGAUACCAUCUGUGUUUGCAUUCUUGGGUCAAGUACCACAUUUCCUCAUUCAUACUUGCUGCAUGGCAGUUUGUGAAUUAAUGGAAAAAAAUGGUUACAUUUAACAAAAUUAUUCUUUGGCAAAGCCUAUAUAGCAUGUUUGUCAUCAUUGCACAGAUUUCAUGUGUGUUGAACUGAAUUUUUUAAAAGCUCAUAAUGCUCACCAAAGCUGCAGUGGGCAGUAAAGUGCAGGUAUUGGCCUUAAUAGAUUUUUUUCUUAUCCACUUGAGGGUCAAGGGGAGAUGAAGCCUGUUCUAGCAGUUGAUGUAAGACUGAAGUUGUGGACAUGACUAUCCUUCAGGCUCUGUGGGCAGUUAAUGUAAGACGGAUGAAGUUAUGGACAUGAUGAUUAUCCUUCAGGCUCUGUGGCCAUAGCUUUAACAAAAAAGUAUGGAUAAGUACCAUGAUAACCUUUGUAUAUAAAAUUAAUUCCAUAUCUAAGACUUAGAUUACCAUGUCUUGUUUGAAAGGUCUGCUUAGACAAAGGUGAGUGUCAAAUGGUAAUACUAGCAGGAAAAAAACUUAAAUGGUGGUAUGCCAUGGAGUAGUCUGGACUUGUGCCAUGAGUCUAAGGUACGUUAAGGUAGACUGCUAUAUUUUCCAAAUACUACUUUUGCAUAUGUAGUGUGCUUGAGAUAUGCAACUUUCAGCAAGACCUUUGGCUACUAUCUGUUGCUGCUUAAAGAUUAGUCAGACUCAUGAGAACCACUGACCUUUAUUUAUAAAAUUGUAGGUUUCCUUAAGUAAAAUGCAUGUUUUACAACAGUUUACUACAGCCUGUAGAUGUGCUUUUACAUACACCUGAUUGAGAUUACUUGAUUUAACUGAAAAUUGUAAUUUUUCUUCCAAAGUGAUGUUGCUACCAUUGUGACAUCCUUGGAGCUGUUAAAAGGUUUGCAUCAUGAGACUCUUGAUAUCUGUGAAGUAUUGCAAAGCAUGCAGCAGCUAAAAAUUGUACUCCGAAGAUUUUUCCAACCCUUUAGAAGAAUGGGAAUAAGUCAAACUGCAGCAGUAGGCUUCAAAACUGCAGAUCCCAAGAUUCAAGUUAUGGGGAAUCUUAGUACAGGAAUGAACACUUGCAGAAUUUGACCAAGUUGAUGAGUCGCAUUGGAGUUCAUAUAUUUCUUUGAAAGUUUAUUUGCAGGCCUAUUGCUUUAAAUUGGAAGAAAAGCAGAAAACUGAGAGGAGAAGCUUAAUGGCCUUUAUUUUUAUCCCACAAAGUAUUCACAAAAUGUAAAGCUUUUCUGUAACUACGAAGAAUAACCUGUUUAUCCCAACUCUGUGGUCUUUCCACUGUCAUAACACAUUUUGAGCUGCUAUGUGGAAGUGUUGCAGAGCCUGGAUUCUGCAGUGUUGGGCUGUUUACUCCUAAAAACUAUUGAACUUGUGCAUGCUUUUUAAUGUUUAGAGCUUCUAAUAAUUUGACAGAAAUGGACCCCAUUUCUGAGUAAGAAUAUAAUCAAAGUUAAUGAAAUUAGAAUUGUUUUGAUAGUAUAUUUGCCAGUAGUGCUUUUCUCACUACCAUCAGAGUACCCAGAAUUUUUCUUGGUCAUCUGGAGUUAGCUGGUUCAGUAAUUUUAAAUUCUUUCUUCAGCA